rnacentral:rRNA from 1 species
AGUGAACGCUGGCGGUAGGCCUAACACAUGCAAGUCGAACGGCAGCACAGUAAGAGCUUGCUCUUACGGGUGGCGAGUGGCGGACGGGUGAGGAAUACAUCGGAAUCUACUUUUUCGUGGGGGAUAACGUAGGGAAACUUACGCUAAUACCGCAUACGACCUACGGGUGAAAGCAGGGGAUCUUCGGACCUUGCGCGAUUGAAUGAGCCGAUGUCGGAUUAGCUAGUUGGCGGGGUAAAGGCCCACCAAGGCGACGAUCCGUAGCUGGUCUGAGAGGAUGAUCAGCCACACUGGAACUGAGACACGGUCCAGACUCCUACGGGAGGCAGCAGUGGGGAAUAUUGCACAAUGGGCGGAAGCCUGAUGCAGCAACGCCGCGUGCGGGAUGACGGCCUUCGGGUUGUAAACCGCUUUCGCCUGUGACGAAGCGUGAGUGACGGUAAUGGGUAAAGAAGCACCGGCUAACUUCG